GAUUCUGGCUCAGGACGAACGCUGGCGGCAUGCCUAACACAUGCAAGUCGAGCGAGGUGAUCCUCGGGAUGAACCUAGCGGCGGACGGGUGAGUAACACGUGGGCAACCUGCCUCAUAGAGGGGAAUAGCCUUCCGAAAGGAAGAUUAAUACCGCAUAAGAUUGUAGCUUCGCAUGAAGCAUCAAUUAAAGGAGCAAUCCGCUAUGAGAUGGGCCCGCGGCGCAUUAGCUAGUUGGUGAGGUAACGGCUCACCAAGGCGACGAUGCGUAGCCGACCUGAGAGGGUGAUCGGCCACAUUGGGACUGAGACACGGCCCAGACUCCUACGGGAGGCAGCAGUGGGGAAUAUUGCACAAUGGGGGAAACCCUGAUGCAAGCAAUGCCGCGUGAGUGAUGACGGCCUUCGGGUUGUAAAGCUCUGUCUUCGGGGACGAUAAUGACGGUACCCGAGGAGGAAGCCACGGCUAACUACGUGCCAGCAGCCGC
rnacentral:rRNA from 1 species